AUCGUUUCUCGUUUUCGGGGUGACGCGGCUACAAUUUCGUUCGAACAAAAACCAAAAGCUCGAAAUCGUCACGUCCUGAAAAAUCUCGUAUACGUAUUAUGUGAAAAUAUCAGGUCUUUCGCGUGGUUUUUAAACAAAUUGGACGCAAUAAAAAUCGAAAAUAAUGAAAUCGAUAUUGUCGUGUAUUUACUGAGCGAAAUUUCCGACCGAGAAGUCGUACAAUGUAAACAGAAAGACG